rnacentral:rRNA from 1 species
GAUGAACGCUGGCGGCGUGCUUAACACAUGCAAGUCGAACGGAAAGGCCCUGCGUUUGUGGGGUGCUCGAGUGGCGAACGCGUGAGUAAAACGCGAGUAACCUGCCCUUGACUUUGGGAUAACUUCAGGAAACUCGGGCUAUUACCGCAUAGGAGCUCCUGCUGCAUGGUGGUGGUUGGAAAGUUUCGGCGGUUGGGGAUGGUCUCGCGGCUUAUCAGCUUGUUGGUGAGGUAGUGGCUUCCCAAGGCUGCGACGGCUAGCCGGCCUGAGAGCGUGACCGGGCACAUGGGGACUGCGGUACGGCCCAGACGGCUACGGUAGGCAGCAGUGGGGAACAUUACGCAGUGGGCGGGCGCGUGAGGCAGCGGCGCUGCGUGCGGGAUGACGGCCUACGGGGUGUGAACCGCUUUCGACUGUGACGAAGCGUGAGUGACGGUAAUGAGUAAGGAAGCACCGGCUAACUACGUG